UCGGGGUUAAGAAUGCACAAGCAACUUACACACUAAAUGUUAGUGAAUUAGGGAUAACCACACACGAGAAGGAUUUGGGAAUUGUUAUAGACAACAAAUUAGGCAGCAAUAUGCAAUGUCAAUCUGCAGUUGCUAAGGCCAGUAAGAUUUUGUCAUGUAUAAAUAGGGGCAUAAAUUCUCGGGAUGAAAAUAUAAUUUGGCCUCUUUAUAAAUCG